rnacentral:rRNA from 1 species
AGUGAACGCUGGCGGUAGGCCUAACACAUGCAAGUCGAACGGCAGCACAGAGGAGCUUGCUCCUUGGGUGGCGAGUGGCGGACGGGUGAGGAAUACAUCGGAAUCUACUCUGUCGUGGGGGAUAACGUAGGGAAACUUACGCUAAUACCGCAUACGACCUACGGGUGAAAGCAGGGGAUCUUCGGACCUUGCGCGAUUGAAUGAGCCGAUGUCGGAUUAGCUAGUUGGCGGGGUAAAGGCCCACCAAGGCGACGAUCCGUAGCUGGUCUGAGAGGAUGAUCAGCCACACUGGAACUGAGACACGGUCCAGACUCCUACGGGAGGCAGCAGUGGGGAAUAUUGGACAAUGAGCGCAAGCCUGAUCCAGCCAUACCGCGUGGGUGAAGAAGGCCUUCGGGUUGUAAAGCCCUUUUGUUGGGAAAGAAAUCCAGCCGGCUAAUACCUGGUUGGGAUGACGGUACCCAAAGAAUAAGCACCGGCUAACUUCGUGCCAGCAGCCGCGGUAAUACGAAGGGUGCAAGCGUUACUCGGAAUUACUGGGCGUAAAGCGUGCGUAGGUGGUUAUUUAAGUCCGUUGUGAAAGCCCUGGGCUCAACCUGGGAACUGCAGUGGAUACUGGAUGACUAGAAUGUGGUAGAGGGUAGCGGGAAUUCCUGGUGUAGCAGUGAAAUGCGUAGAGAUCAGGAGGAACAUCCAUGGGCGAAGGCAGCUACCUGGACCACCAUUGACACUGAGGCACAAGAGCGUGGGGGAGCAAACAGG